rnacentral:rRNA from 1 species
GACGAACGCUGGCGGCGUGCUUAACACAUGCAAGUCGAACGGUAAGGCCCUUCGGGGUACACGAGUGGCGAACGGGUGAGUAACACGUGGGUGAUCUGCCCUGCACUUCGGGAUGAGCCUGGGAAACUGGGUCUAAUACCGGAUAGGACUCCGGACUGCAUGGUCUGGGGUGGAAAGCUUUUGCGGUGUGGGAUGGGCCCGCGGCCUAUCAGCUUGUUGGUGGGGGGAUGGCCUACCAAGGCGACGACGGGUAGCCGGCCUGAGAGGGUGACCGGCCACACUGGGACUGAGAUACGGCCCAGACUCCUACGGGAGGCAGCAGUGGGGAAUAUUGCACAAUGGGCGCAAGCCUGAUGCAGCGACGCCGCGUGAGGGAUGACGGCCUUCGGGUUGUAAACCUCUUUCAGCAUCGACGAAGCGAAAGUGACGGUAGGUGCAGAAGAAGGACCGGCCAACUACGUGCCAGCCGCCGCAGUAA